UGUGUGGAAAAGCCUUGUGGGGUGUAGGUUAGUUGGGGUGUUGCUGUUCUAGAUACUGAAAGGGCACUGUUAACCCUUGUCACUCGUGACGCCAGGGUGGGGGUUAAACUCUAAUGUUGCUGGGCCUAUCGCCACCCUUCCCAAAAGCGAUAGGUGCAUGCGUAAUAAUUAGAUUGUCCACAACCACUGUUGAACUUAAAACUUGCAGGAACUUUUACUGAAGAAUUUCUGAAGCAGGCAAUAUCAAUAACAGUCCAGAUAACAAAGUCCAUUUAUAACUGGGCAGCGAUUGACAGUUGGUUGGGAUCAGAUAAGCUUAAUGUAGCUUCUCGUAGACUCUGUAGCAUAGAUCCGCUGGAUUUAGGGGAGCGUUUAGGUCCAGUGAUCUUGCAGAGAUAACGGGGAAUUGUAAAGUCUAAUAGUCUCUAGCAUAGGCUGCGGCCGCAAGGCUUUGGGCCUAGUUCUUGUCUUUGGAAGUUGCGGAGGUCCUACCUCAUCCAGAGUCAGCAACCCAAGAGAGCGAUCAAGAUGGCGCAGCUCCCUUAUAUGGGCAGGGGCUGGCUGUUUUGGAUUGGUCCAUAACAACUGUCACUCACCGUUACAUUGUAUUGUGGGUGAACACGUGACAUGAGAACCACCAAAGGUCCUUCAGCAAACCAUAGAGUUCUGAACUAAGUCACAUAACCCGCAGGUCCUGCGACGCGAACAAGUUGCUCCACCCAUUGAAGCAGACAGCAUUCCUGUCAUUACCUGACUAGUGAUGUCACGUCUCGAUGCACUGCAACCUGGGAAAAGCCGAGACCUGAGCAAUUUUGUAUGGUGUUAAAAAUAAAUAUUUGGGCGAAUAUCACAGAAGAAUUGUGAGACCAACGUCACACACAGGGAGAAUGGAUCACUGAUGCAAUGGCUUUUCAGGGUGCUUUAUGAGCGGAAAUGUAAAAGCCAGCACAACAAGGUCGGGGUUACACUAAGCAUUGAAAUGUUGCUGCAAAAAUAAACAGACGGUUCACGAAAACCUGACCGGUGACAUCAUUGAUCUGGAACAGGCCAAUUUCUGGGGCUUCAUCCACUCCAGGCCCGCUGAUAAGAUACCGGAUGGAGUGGUUCUGUGAUCUGUCAUUGAAGAGCUGCAAACAUAAAACAAUGAAACAACUUUGGGCUAGUUACAGAUCCACUAUAGCAUAUUUUGGAAAGGGUCCUGGGUCAUUCUCCUGUAGUACUAUUGUGGUCAGGACCCAUCUUCUCUUGGAACGUCGCAGUGGGCGAAGGCUGUCUGGUGUAUCUACAUGCUGUAUAGAAAAAAUAACAGCUAUC